UACGGAGGGUGCAAGCGUUAUCCGGAUUCACUGGGUUUAAAGGGAGCGCAGGCGGGCUGGUAAGUCAGUGGUGAAAGCCUUGAGCUUAACUCGAGAACUGCCAUUAAUACUAUCAGUCUUGAAUAUUGUUGAGGUUUGCGGAAUGGGUCAUGUAGCGGUGAAAUGCAUAGAUAUGACCCGGAACACCUAUUGCGAAGGCAGCAGGCUAAACAAAGAUUGACGCUGAGGCUCGAAAGCGUGGGGAUCAAACAGG
rnacentral:rRNA from 1 species